rnacentral:sRNA from 1 species
GCUCCAGGCAGUUGCUGUCACCCUCACAUUCCUGUUCCUGUUUUCUACAAAGGGACUGUCAGCCUGAGCAUGCCUGCCCUUGACCAUGACCCUGCUGUGUCUUAGGCCAGAAGUGUUGCCUGAGACAUCUGUUUAAUAAGCCUUUCCAUCCUCAGCUGCUUCCCAUCACCACGGCGACCACUACUCAGGAGCCGGCAGCAGGGGGAGCCAGAGCCAUCAACCAGGCCAUGGACAGAAUUGGACUUCUGGGAAGCAGACAACAGCAGAAGCUUCUGAAAGUCCUCCAGGCCGUCGAAAAUGACUCUGCCCACCUCA